CCGCGCAGCCGGGGAUGCAGCGGCGCCCUGUACCUGCAAUCCGCUAUAGCAGGGGUGAUGCCGAACAGAGGCUUUUUCAUUGUAGAGCUGCCUUCUGUAAGUGACGUUGACGUCUGGGUCUCGCGCAACGGAAAUCUGUGAACCGUGUCAGGACAGGAAUGUAGCAGCACUAAGCAGAACCUUUCGUGUGCCGUGAGGGCGCCUGGGCUGAGCUAACUGCCGGAGUAACGUGCAUGGUGUCGGUCCGAAGCAAGGCGCGCGG
rnacentral:SRP_RNA from 1 species